rnacentral:rRNA from 1 species
GAUGAACGCUGGCGGCGUGCCUAAUACAUGCAAGUCGAGCGAACGGACGAGAAGCUUGCUUCUCUGAUGUUAGCGGCGGACGGGUGAGUAACACGUGGAUAACCUACCUAUAAGACUGGGAUAACUUCGGGAAACCGGAGCUAAUACCGGAUAAUAUUUUGAACCGCAUGGUUCAAAAGUGAAAGACGGUCUUGCUGUCACUUAUAGAUGGAUCCGCGCUGCAUUAGCUAGUUGGUAAGGUAACGGCUUACCAAGGCAACGAUGCAUAGCCGACCUGAGAGGGUGAUCGGCCACACUGGAACUGAGACACGGUCCAGACUCCUACGGGAGGCAGCAGUAGGGAAUCUUCCGCAAUGGGCGGAAGCCUGACGGAGCAACGCCGCGUGAGUGAUGAAGGUCUUCGGAUCGUAAAACUCUGUUAUUAGGGAAGAACAUAUGUGUAAGUAACUGUGCACAUCUUGACGGUACCUAAUCAGAAAGCCACCGCUAACUACGUG